rnacentral:sRNA from 1 species
GAAAGUCCCUGACUGGAGUUGGCAGCCAAGCCAGGCCCUGGAGUGGGCACCCAGAGGGAAGACAGGGGAAGAACACCCACCCGCAAAGCCCCGUAGGGCUGGACCCUACGUUAGCCUGCCCUGCUCGGGGUUGGCGAUGCUGGAGGUGGGCCUUGGACCAGAGAAAAUGCUUUAAUUAGGUGACAAGCGGGCAGAGGCCUUUGUCUCUGGCGCCGGCAGCCAACGGCCCCCGCUGACGGCGUGGGAAACAGACCCUGUUCCACUCCGGUCUCCAGCCUUGGAAUGGUUGCCUUCGUGCAAUGCAGGAGGACGCGGCAGAGGGCGGACGAUCGCUCCACUCGCCGGGACCAGGUGCGGGGGCCCUGCCCAGCCGCUGGGGCGUGGCCAGGCUCGAAGCACCCAGGUGUCGGGGGCCGACUCUAAGCCCUGGCACCGGAAGAGAGAGGGCGGCGGAUUGCACCUCCCGGCUCCAGCAUUGCAACUGGGCGCUCCGUCUCCUGGUCCACGCAAUGAUGCCGCGGCUGCUCAGAAGCCAGGUAGCCUGCCCCGGGUGAAGCCUUCGCGCAGGUCAAUGACGGGGCGGAGGGGCAGGGCGCGGUCCCCUGCAUCCCUGAUCUGGGGAGCGGUGGGCCCAGGGGCCAUCGCCUUAGCCCCUGGCGCUGGGGCUCGGCGCCAAGUGACGGGCGGGGCUCCACCUUCCAGCCAUCCGCCCGGCCCGGGAGGGCGGACGCCGCGAGACUCCCGGCCGCGCCCUCUCCUUCCUCUCCUCCCCAAGCCCUCGCUGCCAGUCCGGACAGGCUGCGCGAAGGGGAGGGC